rnacentral:rRNA from 1 species
CCUACGGGAGGCUGCAGUGAGGAAUAUUGGUCAAUGGACGAGAGUCUGAACCAGCCAAGUAGCGUGAAGGAUGACUGCCCUAUGGGUUGUAAACUUCUUUUAUAUGGGAAUAAAACGUUCCACGUGUGGGAUUUUGUAUGUACCAUAUGAAUAAGGAUCGGCUAACUCCGUGCCAGCAGCCACGGUAAUACGGAGGAUCCGAGCGUUAUCCGGAUUUAUUGGGUUUAAAGGGAGCGUAGGUGGAUUGUUAAGUCAGUUGUGAAAGUUUGCGGCUCAACCGUAAAAUUGCAGUUGAAACUGGCAGUCUUGAGUACAGUAGAGGUGGGCGGAAUUCGUGGUGUAGCGGUGAAAUGCUUAGAUAUCACGAAGAACUCCGAUUGCGAAGGCAGUUCACUGGACUGCAACUGACACUGAGGCUCGAAAGUGUGGGUAUCAAACAGGAUUAGAUACCCGGGUAGUC